UACGUAGGGUGCAAGCGUUACUCGGAAUUACUGGGCGUAAAGCGUGCGCAGGCGGUUUUGUAAGUCUGUCGUGAAAUCCCCGGGCUUAACCUGGGAAUGGCGAUGGAGACUGCGAGGCUAGAGUUUGGCAGAGGGGGGUAGAAUUCCACGUGUAGCAGUGAAAUGCGUAGAGAUGUGGAGGAACACCGAUGGCGAAGGCAGCCCCCUGGGUCAAAACUGACGCUCAUGCACGAAAGCGUGGGGAGCAAACAGG
rnacentral:rRNA from 1 species